GAGCGGUCGCCUAGCAACGGCGGGGCGCUCCGCCGGGCCCACCGCGGCCUAGCCCGGCCCCGCCGCUCCGCCGGGGCGGGGAUGGAGGUUGGUGCCCGGGCCCCGGCGGCUGCAGCGAAGAGACGGGCCCUGAGGAGGGGCAGCGGGGACAACACGAAGGGCCGAAGGCGCCGCCUCCAAAACACAGCGCUCCAGGGUGACCUCUGAGGACCAACGGCUUCGCGCAUGAGCCUUCCUCCUGCCACCGGUGCCUCCCCAUGCCUGCCCCUCCUCAGCGGUGUGUGUGUCACCCUCCAGGGCUGGAUCCACAGGAGGACAAUGGGGUGCAGGAGCUGACCACAAGGCUUCCAGAUCCUCAAGCAGGGAGCGGUGGAACAGCGCAACAGGAGCUGUGGGCUUUCCCGGAUAAGAGUGCUGAGCUACAGCCGGACACUCGGCACCGAAGGACAUAAUACACUCGUAUUGGAGCACUGAGAAUCAGGCUCUCAGGAGAUUAAAUGUGUCGCCGUGCCCACUCUGGGUAUCCUGG